rnacentral:lncRNA from 1 species
GAAGAUAAGCCGUCUUUUUUUAAAGUGAAAAAUGAUAAUCUUACAUAUUUUUAAUGUAGUUUUUCCAUUUUUUGUGCUGUAUGUUUACAUAUUAUUUAUAAUUUUCGAAAAUUAGUAAAAUUAAAAUGUAAAACUAUAUUUUAUGCAACUUGUCAUCUUUCGGGAUAAGUUUUUUUGCUGAUGUGGACGCUCUAUGGAGUCUUAAAAGGUCUCUUUUAUUAGUAAGGAUUUUUUUUAUAAAACGGUAAUGUUACAUUAUGGAGAUAAACCGUCUUUAUUUUAAGUGAAAAAUGGUAAUUUUACAUAUCUUUAAUGUAGUUUUCCAUUUUUUAUGCUGUAUGUUUACAUAUUAUUUAUAAUUUUCGAAAAUUAGUAAUAUUAAAAUGUAAAACUAUAUUUUAUGCCACGUGUCAUCUUUCGGGAGAAGUUUUUUUGCUGAUGUAGACGCUCUAUGUAAAAUAUGAUAAUCUUACAUAUGUUUAGUGUAGUAUUUCCAUUUUUUAUGUUGUAUUUUUACAUAUAUUUAUUAUUCGCAAAAUUAUAUAGAAUGUUUUUUGUUUUUUUUAUAAAACGGUAAUGUUACAUUAUGAAGAUAAGCCGUCUUUUUUUAAAGUGAAAAAUGAUAAUCUUACAUAUUUUUAAUGUAGUUUUUCCAUUUUUUGUGCUGUAUAUUUACAUAUUAUUUAUAAUUUUCGAAAAUUAGUAAAAUUAAAAUGUAAAACUAUAUUUUAUGCAACUUGUCAUCUUUCGGG